ACUGACUGGAUUACAAAUAGUGUCUCUAGGUGUCGUGGCGGCUACGCUUUUUCACAAUGCAAUAGCCACUAGCUGGCCUCAUGUCCUGCAGCUUAAGAAUCUUUUACACAAUACCCUGACAAUAUAUGAAAACAAACAAGUCGGUCCACCAACGAAUUCAGAGCUGAGAAAAUCUGUGAAAAUCUUAUCGAAAGCUUAUCGAAAGUCCUUGGGUAGCUCCUAAGUCUCUGUGUUCAAGGGGUCAGUCCUGGAGGACCCGGAAUUGGUGCUCCGGGCGGACAAAACUAUCCCUUUACACUGCCGUCCGGAACCAAUUGCCCAGCACCGGCAGUAGUUUACUGUGAGGGAGGUGUCUACUGUCCUCCAGGGUACAAAAGGCCGUCUCCAAAAUGGAAAGAUUGACGUAAAUGAAAGAAAGUCCCAUAUGGAAGGAAGAGUUCUAUGUAUAUUAAUACCUGGCGAAUGCGCUGUGGGAUCGAUUUUCACAGAUGUCGCUCUCUAAAUUUACUACAAUUUGUAUUAUGUUAAGAGAAAGCUUUAAAUAUUGGUAUUGUUUUAUUAUGCCAUGAUAUCAAUUUUUUCGACGAGAACAGCACAUCGGCUGUGGCGAAUGAUCUCUGUCCUUGUCACUUAUGGGAAAUUUGUGCACCGAAUCAAUGUUAUUUGAUGCCAAACUAUAAACUAGUUCACCCGGGAACAGCAGGAGAACGGGAAAUUGAACAGUUACAGCAGCGCUUUAAUGGAAUGCUUCGAGAGCCAACCCACACUUGACCAAAUGCCAGCGGUACGAGUACAUCGUAUAGUCGUUGCCGACGAAACUCUUUUGGCGACUCGUCGCCCCGCAAUCAACGAAGCGUUACCAAGCCAAGUCUCGGCCGCAAUGAGUGUACCACCACCAACAACAACAGCAGACGAUCGACCGUCGACAACCUAGAGACACUGUCUGGCCACAAAGAGCAUAGCGAAAUAGUACUGCCUUUUCCUCCAUCUCUGGCUACCCUUUGCUGCUGGGGCUGCGGUCUUUUGUCUAAACAAAAUAACACACAGGGCAAUCCAUUAAUUUGUAUCUAUGGAUGUGCAUAAGUGCUCCGUAAGUUGAGUGUGAGUCGCCGUGCAACUUACUCUAUCGCAUAAUGCGGCGAAAUUAUGUCAUCAGCUAGCCACUGAAGCCAAGCCGAACCGACGAAACGCCCCAGCGCAACCACAAGCCUGUUUAAAGUCUACGGAAUCCAUGCGAAGUGGAAGCGAAGUGGAAGGCCCCAUUAAUAUUACAUGUAAAUUCAUUGAAUGUUCCAAUACAUGUUUGAUUGAUGAAAGGUGCAGCUCAAUCUUACAGCCUUCUUCUCCUUAGAGUUGUUCGGGAGCGAAAGGGGUGUUAUACCGUCUCAUCCUCUUCCUCAUUUGCGCAGUUUCGGGAGAAAUCUGUGUAGGGGCCACCCAGAACCCUAAUGCAUGGGUUUCUA